UACGGGGGGGGCAAGCGUUGUUCGGAAUUACUGGGCGUAAAGGGCUCGUAGGCGGCCAACUAAGUCAGACGUGAAAUCCCUCGGCUUAACCGGGGAACUGCGUCUGAUACUGGAUGGCUGGAGUUUGGGAGAGGGAUGCGGAAUUCCAGGUGUAGCGGUGAAAUGCGUAGAUAUUGGGAGGAACACUAGUGGCGAAGGCGGCUCACUGGACCGGUACUGACGCUGAGGCGCGAAAGCGUGGGGAGCAAACGGG
rnacentral:rRNA from 1 species